GGGCGUAAAGCGUCCGUCGGCGGUCUAUAAAGUUUCAUCUUUAAUACUGGGGCUCAACCCCAGAUACAGGAUGGAAAACUAGUAGACUAGAGUUUACUAUGGGGAGCUGGAAUUCUCGGUGGAGGGGUG
rnacentral:rRNA from 1 species